AUGGUGGUGGUGGUGGUGAUAGUGAUGGUGAUGGUGGUUGUGGUGGUGGUGAUGGGAAUGGAAUUCCAGAGGGGAGAGACUUGCCCCAGGCAAGAGAACUGACCCCAAACCCUCAUGCUCAAACACCUGUUGAUCAUCUGCCCUGAGCAUGGAACCAUCAGCAGCACAGGCUGCCAGCACUUUAGAAAAGAAAGAGAGCUGGGCUUUUACCGGCUCCCUGCAGCUUCAGGAGGGGCACAUCCUGGAAAGAAGGUCCCAAGAGGCAACCUGUCCUCAGGACAGGCUCACUCUCUCCAAGGACUCACCGACCCAGAGCUAUCCCAGGCAGUGGAGAUGGUCAAUCCAGAGUCUAGAGUUGGCCACAGGAGGAACAGUUGCCUUUCAAACCUGGCCUUCAGCUAGCCAGGCCAUCCAGCCACAAGGCUCCAAGGCAGUCACUGAGUCUCAGGUUCCCUGUUUAUAAAAUAGACCCAUCUACCCGACAGGCACUUCCAGAGGCAGACAAAGUCGUGUCUCUAAAAAUCCAUUAAGCUGUAUGGAAACAGCUGUGGCUUUAUCUGAAACAAGGUAGCGAGGGCUGGGGCUCCUGGUAGGGUCAGCACGGUUUGGAAUCCUCAAAUCUCUCCACUGACCUCCUGACGUUGUCCCUCCCCAAAGAGUCGGGCUGUGAGGGGCGGGGAAGGAACGGGCUGGGAGGCUAGCGAGGCAUCAACCACCCUCCCACCUCUACCACAGGACAUGACGGUGUGGCCUUGUCAUCCAGUGCCUGUGUGGCAGGAGGGAGCCUGGAUCAGCUAGCAGGGCGGAGUGCUGGCCUUAGGAGGAAAGCCGCCCUCCCAGGUCAAAGCAGAUGUGGAGGA
rnacentral:lncRNA from 1 species